UACGGAGGGUGCGAGCGUUGUCCGGAAUCAUUGGGCGUAAAGGGCGCGUAGGUGGCCCGGUCAGUUCGUGGUGAAAGCGCGGGGCUCAACCCUGCGUCGGCCAUGAAUACUGCCGCGGCUGGAGCACUGUAGAGGCAGGCGGAAUUCCGGGUGUAGCGGUGGAAUGCGCAGAUAUCAGGAGGAACACCUAUAGCGAAGGCAGCUUGCUGGGACGUUACUGACGCUAAGGCGCGAAAGCGUGGGGAGCGAACAGG
rnacentral:rRNA from 1 species